rnacentral:rRNA from 1 species
UGCGUAGGCGGACUAAUAAGUCAGUGGUGAAAUCUUUCGGCUCAACCGAGAAACUGCCAUUGAUACUGUUAGUCUUGAGUUCGGUUGAGGUAGGCGGAAUGUGUAAUGUAGCGGUGAAAUGCUUAGAUAUUCACAGAACACCAAUUGCGUAGGCAGCUUACUAGACCGACACUGACGCUGAGGCACGAAAGCGUGGGGAGCGAACAGGAUUAGAUACCCUGGUAGUCC